UACGGAGGGUGCAAACGUUGCUCGGAAUUAUUGGGCGUAAAGCGCACGUAGGCGGUCCGACAAGUCGGGUGUGAAAGCCCUCGGCUCAACCGAGGAAGUGCAUCCGAAACUAUCGGACUUGAAUACUGGAGAGGGUCGCGGAAUUCCCGGUGUAGAGGUGAAAUUCGUAGAUAUCGGGAGGAACACCAGUGGCGAAGGCGGCGACCUGGACAGAUAUUGACGCUGAGGUGCGAAAGCGUGGGGAGCAAACAGG
rnacentral:rRNA from 1 species